rnacentral:rRNA from 1 species
AGUGGCGGACGGGUGAGUAACGCGUGGGUAACCUGCCUUGUACAGGGGGAUAACAGUUAGAAAUGACUGCUAAUACCGCAUAAGCGCACAGUACCGCAUGGUACAGUGUGAAAAACUCCGGUGGUACAAGAUGGACCCGCGUCUGAUUAGCUAGUUGGUAAGGUAACGGCUUACCAAGGCGACGAUCAGUAGCCGACUUGAGAGAGUGAUCGGCCACAUUGGGACUGAGACACGGCCCAAACUCCUACGGGAGGCUGCAGUGGGGAAUCUUCCGCAAUGGACGAAAGUCUGACGGAGCAACGCCGCGUGAGGGAUGGAGGCCUUCGGGUUGUAAAGCUCUGUCUUUGGGGACGAUGUUGAGUGUACCUUUCGAAUAAGCACCGGCUAACUACGUGCCAGCAGCCGCGGUAAUACGUAGGGUGCAAGCGUUAUCCGGAAUUAUUGGGCGUAAAGGGAGCGUAGGCGGAUUUUUAAGUGGGAUGUGAAAUACCCGGGCUCAACCUGGGUGCUGCAUUCCAAACUGGAAAUCUAGAGUGCAGGAGAGGAAAGUGGAAUUCCUAGUGUAGCGGUGAAAUGCGUAGAUAUUAGGAAGAACACCAGUGGCGAAGGCGACUUUCUGGACUGUAACUGACGCUGAGGCUCGAAAGCGUGGGGAGCGAACAGGAUUAGAUACCCUGGUAGUCCACGCCGUAAACGAUGGGUACUAGGUGUAGGAGGUAUCGACCCCUUCUGUGCCGGAGUUAACGCAAUAAGUACCCCGCCUGGGGAGUACGACCGCAAGGUUGAAACUCAAAGGAAUUGACGGGGGCCCGCACAAGCGGUGGAGCAUGUGGUUUAAUUCGAAGCAACGCGAAGAACCUUACCUAGACUUGACAUCUCCUGCAUUACCCUUAAUCGGGGAAGUUCCUUCGGGGACAGGAAGACAGGUGGUGCAUGGUUGUCGUCAGCUCGUGCCGUGAGAUGUUGGGUUAAGUCCCGCAACGAGCGCAACCCUUAUUGUUAGUUGGUACCAUUAAGUUGACCACUCUAGCGAGACUGCCCGGGUUAACCGGGAGGAAGGUGGGGAUGACGUCAAAUCAUCAUGCCCCUUAUGUCUAGGGCUACACACGUGCUACAAUGGCAAGUACAAAGAGAAGCAAUACUGUGAAGUGGAGCAAAACUCAAAAACUUGUCUCAGUUCGGAUUGUAGGCUGAAACUCGCCUACAUGAAGCUGGAGUUGCUAGUAAUCGCGAAUCAGAAUGUCGCGGUGAAUACGUUCCCGGGUCUUGCACUCACCGCCCGUCA